rnacentral:rRNA from 1 species
UAAUACGUAGGUGGCGAGCGUUGUCCGGAUUUACUGGGUGUAAAGGGUGCGUAGGCGGGAUUACAAGUCAGGCGUGAAAUGCAUCGGCUUAACCGGUGAGCUGCGUUUGAAACUGUAGUUCUUGAGUGAAGUAGAGGCAGGCGGAAUUCCGAGUGUAGCGGUGAAAUGCGUAGAUAUUCGGAGGAACACCAGUGGCGAAGGCGGCCUGCUGGGCUUUUACUGACGCUGAGGCACGAAAGCAUGGGUAGCAAACAGG